UAUGAGCCUCAGUGUUGGUGUCUUCU
rnacentral:piRNA from 1 species